UACGUAGGGGGCAAACGUUGUCCGGAUUUACUGGGCGUAAAGGGUGCUCAGGCGGUCUUGUAAGUCAGAAGUGAAAUCCUAGAGCUUAACUCUGGAACUGCUUUUGAUACUGCAAGGCUUGAAUAUGGAAGAGGAGGGUGGAAUUUCUGGUGUAGAAGUGAAAUGCGUAGAUAUCAGAAAGAACACCAGUGGCGAAGGCGGCCCUCUGGAACGGUACUGACGCUGAGACGCGAAAGCGUGGGGAGCGAACAGG
rnacentral:rRNA from 1 species